CUAUGAACAAAGUUAUUUAUGAUUUUACUAUUAGAUUUGUAUUUGCAUAUAUACUAUGCACACUUGCAUAUUCAUAAUAUAUAUGGCACUGAAAUAUGGUAUUGAUAGAAUGCUUAUCCAUAUUCUUCCCUGUUACCUGAUUAUUAUAUCUAUUUUGACCAGCCCUUACUACUUGUGCUUCUAUUUAUGUCUAUUCUUUUAUCUCCUUCUACAUACACAUAUCAGCUAUGAUAGUAGUGUUUUAGUAUUCUUUAUUUAUUGGAUAAGUCCUAUAUAUUUUAUUAUUUUAUUGUAUUUUCAAGUUUGGAAUUCAUACUCAGAUCUUGAAUUAAAUAAUUUUGUUUUAUGUAUUUUAGAUAUCCCUUUUUACAAAUUUAAUUUGUGCUUUUUAUUCAUCUAAUUGACUUAGUUCCCUUAUGUACCCUUGACCUGGGGGUAUAUAAGGCUAAUUCACAAACGAGAACGUUGUCGUGAAAAAGUCUGACUUAUGGACGGAACGUGUAGAUUCAUCGGUCCACGUCUUAUUUUGUUACGCUGCUCCUUUCACUUAGGCCUUUUUAAGUUACUAGCCAUGGCUUUUUCUACAUGCUGCCAGCUGGUUGUGCUCCCCCAUCGCUCCCCUGGUCAGAAG